CUCCCUUUUUAGAGCAUGUCUUUCAGAAAAUUUCUCCUUACACAUAAAUCUUCUCCUGGCCUUACACCAAUUAUAAGCCAGGAAUGUCUUUCCUCAGGGUCAGAGGGACUUCCAUUAGAAAUGUGAUCAUCAAGAAAAAAGAUGGGGCCUCUGUCUCUUGGUAUCCGUGUGAGGACCAAUUUCAGAGUGCCAACUGGCCAGCAUUUUACUUUGACAAACCUCUCUCUCCAGUGUCCUUCAUAGAUGCUCAGGAGUUCACCGUUUGUGUUAAAAAACUCCCUUACAGUGUUGGCUUCGACAGCACGUAUACUAAAAUUGGAACAACCCAGAGAAGAUUUAUCACGGCCCCGGCACAAGGAUGACAUGAAAAUUCACAAAAUGUUCCAUGUUGUUUUCACUAAAUCAGCAUAGUCCCUAACUACUUUCUAAGUAUUUGUCCUUCUACCCACAGUCAACUAUAGCCCUCACCCCUCAUCAAGGAAACUUUUCUUUGCAACAGAGGGAGGCCAUUACUGAAAACUAACACCAAUUAAAAUGCAGAGUUGAGGAGCCCAGUCCCAGUGGAUGCAGCUACAAAACAAUUUCCCACACAUAAGGCUCAGGGAACAAGGCAGGAGAGGGGCAGAUGGUUUGUGAGAGGACCAGGGAGUUUGCUGUGAGAUUGUGUCUCCUAGCAACCUCAGAAGCUACACCCACAAACAUUCACCAUUCUUGCCUGAAUAUGAGCUGAACAAGGACAACAAUAGACAUGCUGACAUGGAUGGGGGAAAGCCCACGAGGCCUCCAACCUACACAAAGAACUGAGCUUCUGAAUCUAUCCAUCAACCUAUUCAUAUUUUGUGAUUUACCAUCUGAAAGAAGACAGCAAGAAUGAGAAACGGAGGAAAGGACUUAAGGAUUGUUGGAGUGAUUCAGUACUCACUCGCUUCUUCACAAAACAGAACCAGAGCAACAGUGUACAUGUGUCUUUUGAGUAGCUAUGGGAGAACAUUGGAAUUCAAUAGUAGAGGAAUGAACACCUUGUAAAGCCCAGAGGCUUUAGACAUCAGCACAGCAAGACAAACACAAUAUCCCAUCACCUGCCACCUUCUGCACCUAGGGAAGAGGCUUUCCUUACAUGGGGGAAAGACAAAGGCUACUCUCAGCCAUAAACUGAGAUGCCUCUUCUUGUGAAGAUGUACAAAAUGCUGAGAAUAAGGAAUCAGAUGAGGACUCAGCAUCCCUAACAUCCAGCUGUGGUUGGGGAAAGAGACUCACAAGACCUCACCACCUAUUGUCAAACUGUUGGCAACUGAGAGAUUCUGGAAGAGGUUAAGUGUGAUACCCGGUGUACCCCCUGGUGAGCCCACCAAGCUCUGAUGAUUAAUUCCAAACUAAGGACCACACAGAUGUCCCUGAUUAAAUUCUGCAGACACUAAACAAAACUCAAACUGGUAACUAGAGAA